rnacentral:rRNA from 1 species
UACAGAGACUGCAAGCGUUAUUCGGAUUCACUGGGCGUAAAGGGUGCGCAGGCGGUUGGGUGUGUCAGAUGUGAAAUCCCGAGGCUUAACCUCGGAACUGCGUCUGAAACUACUCGACUAGAGUACUGGAGAGGGUAACGGAAUUCCAGGUGUAGCGGUGAAAUGCGUAGAUAUCUGGAGGAACACCGGUGGCGAAGGCGGCAUUCUGGACCGAUAUUGACGCUGAGGAGCGAAAGCCAGGGGAGCAAACGGG